ACCAGGGACUUGCACAAAUAUCUAGCUCUUUUCCUUGGAUUGGAAUCCUCUACGUCUUAAGUAUGUACAGCAGUAGGUGGAUACAGCAGACGCUGAAUAAUCUGGGGGAAGGAAGAAGUUUUCCCAUGAAACUGUGGGAAUAGAUACCUAAUGACCUAAAAUGUGCCUUUUUUUUUUAAAUUUUUUUUUUAUUUGAGACGGAGUCUCAACGUAGCUCAGGCUGACCUCAAACUUGCUAUGUAGCCUCGCUAUGAAAUCCAGAUGUAUCUGGUGCAAAGAAGGUACAAUUUCAGGAGACCCACAAAUGUUGAAGCGUAGGAGUGCGUGCUCUUGAUUUAACCGCAGCACCUGCAGGGUCCAUCUGCGCCCAGCAGCCUCUCAGCCUUAUUAUUCCUUACGCCGCCCCUCCUAACUAGUCGCCCUCUGGUUUGGGCAGCUCCGGAAAGUAACUGGGAAUCAGGUUUAGGGCAACCUCAUCUUUUUAGGUGUGGAGGGGGCCAGAGAAGUCAAAGCCCUAAUCCUGGGGUUCACCUUCCUUGUAGAGGGAAAUUACCGCCUCUUAACCUUUGGUUUCCAAAUCGUUUGACAGAUUUGGCUUCCAGUCCCCGCCCAUAAAGGGGCAUGCAUGCGCACGCGUGAGUGCGAAGCCUCGCCGGCCAUGUUGGACUCGGGCAGCGCGCUCGCCUUCAGUCUGUCGCCUCAACGGGGAAAACCAGAGAGCUACCUCGACAUUCUGUCCACCUAAAUCCGUGGCGGGCAUGUGCUCGCGAGGCCGGCGACACUCUCCUCCUGCCUCCAGCGUCAAAAAGAAGUUCUCAGUAUACACCCUGGUACACGGCGCCUUAAGUGUUAGCUUUGAGCUCGGCAUGGCGGCUUCCAAACAUUCUUCCAGCUCCCAGUACCUGUGGGCACACUGAAGGCAAGGAGAGCACAAAGCCAACCCAGGCCAGUGAAAGUGCAGCUUCACCAGGCCUCUUGGACGGACAGGUCAUGUGAUAGCUGGGGAGGAUGUCAGAAACACAAACGGGGCGCCCAGGACUGAAGGGAGAAAGGAAUCUUUGUGAAUUUCGGAACAUUUUAACGCCCCCGGCUUGUUAUUUUUAUCCCCCUCCCUGGCUGCCUCUCUGUAGGGGCUCCCAUGCAACAUCAAAACUCCUCGGAUCAAAAAAGCCCAGCGUGUGUUGUGUGUGUGUGUGUGUGUACACGCGCGCGUGUGGAUACAGGGAAUCAGGGAGCUGGAACAUUAUGUCCUAGGCAGAGCAUGAAAAAGGGCCUUAAGGGCUGGUGUGGGCUGUGGCUUCUGUAGAGAGGUAGCCUAUGGGGUCCUGGAGUGGUGCAACUUCCCAUUCUGCUCCUCAGCCAAGGGUUCCCUGACUUUCUUUGUGGUCGGAAGCUAAGAAAUAAGAGGGCCGUGGGAUGAUCAGUGGGGGAAGGCCUGGCAACCCGAGUUUGAUUUCCAGGUCUUGAAUAGAAGGAGAGAACUGAUUUCCACUGUGUCAUCAUCUGACUUACACACAUACUACACACACACACACACACACACACACACAGUGACCACAUACACACACAGUGGCACAGAAAAAAAAAUUACAUAAGGGGUGAAGAGCUGGUGGGGGUAAUCACAAAGGUGGUUGGCUGGGGUUUGUUCUGGUUUUCCAACAUCUGCAGCUUCAUACCCAGGGAUCCUGCAAUCUCAGCGUGAGGACUUAUGCAGUAUGGAGCCAGGAUUACACGAGUGUGCCCAGCUUCCCACAGUCUAGCAUGGGACAGGGAGCAGAGGGCAGAGACGGCAGGUGGGGUGUUGGGGGCAUUGCACCGUUUAUUUCCAGACACCGAGGGCGAGGUGGGGGAAUCCAUCUGCCUCCCCCCACCCUUGCUACAUUUGGCUUAAUCAAGACUUUUCUCACCCCUAUGUUGUGCAAGACAGAGAAAAACACCCCCCACCCCACCCGAGGAGGACCUAGGCAUAACAGGAGCAUGGGUGAAGGUGGGGUUCAAGUAUUCACAGGUUUAGGGGGGGUCACAUUGCAACCAGAUCCACAGUUGCUUUUGCUGGUGUAGUUCUCUAGCGUGAGCACCUCCCACUGAAUGCCCACCCCUUCCCCUGUCAGAGUGACUGCCCUCCCCAGCAGGGAGGCACUGGGGAGAAGGUGAGGGUCUUCCCUUACCCACUAGGUUGGUAGCAGUGGUCAGGGAGGCACUUGGGGUUUGGAGGGCCUUGAUGGACGUGUUCAGACAGCUGUGGUCUGAGCUCUCACCUCUGCCCUCACUCUGGGCUCGGAAUCCCUGAGAGUCCAGCCGCAAAGGCAAAAAUGGAUCGGGGGAGGGGAGGGGAGAAGGAGGGGGGAUAAAGGAGGGGAUAGUGGAAGAUGAGGUGGGAGGGCAGGGUAGAUCACACACCCCUACAGCUGGUCCUAUGUAGGGAGGGUCAGGACUGUGCUUAGGUCCCUUCCGACCUUCCAAAGUAGCAGGUGUGCUGGGAAGGCAGGUUAGAGCCACUGGUCCCCAAUGUUCUGACUUUGGGCAGAGCGGAUGAAAAGGGAGGAUUGUAUCCAGAGGGGAGUAUAAAACUAAAACUAACUUUCUGGGAAGCGGUGGCCCAGCCUCUUGCCCGACCCCCCCCCCC